UACGGGGGGGGCAAGCGUUGUUCGGAAUUACUGGGCGUAAAGGGCUCGUAGGCGGCCAACUAAGUCAGACGUGAAAUCCCUCGGCUUAACCGGGGAACUGCGUCUGAUACUGGAUGGCUUGAAUCCGGGAGAGGGAUGCGGAAUUCUCGGUGUAGCGGUGAAAUGCGUAGAUAUCGAGAGGAACACCUGCGGCGAAGGCGGGUUGCUGGGCUGAUACUGACGCUGAGGCGCGAAAGCCAGGGGAGCGAACGGG
rnacentral:rRNA from 1 species